UACGUAGGUGACUAGCGUUGUCCGGAUUUACUGGGCGUAAAGAGCGCGCAGGCGGUCGUUCAAGUCGAGUGUGAAAGCCCCCGGCUCAACUGGGGAGGGUCACUUGAUACUGAUCGACUCGAAGGCAGGAGAGGGAAGCGGAAUUCCCGGUGUAGUGGUGAAAUGCGCAGAUAUCAGGAGGAACACCAGCGGCGAAGGCGGCGCUCUGGGCCGGUACUGACGCUGAGGAGCGAAAGCGUGGGGAGCAAACAGG
rnacentral:rRNA from 1 species